CCUACGGGUGGCUGCAGUGGGGAAUAUUGCACAAUGGGCGAAAGCCUGAUGCAGCAACGCCGCGUGAGCGAUGAAGGUCUUCGGGUCGUAAAGCUCUGUCCUAAGGGAAGAAUAUUGACGGUACCUUAGGAGGAAGCACCGGCUAACUACGUGCCAGCAGCCGCGGUAAUACGUAGGGGGCUAGCGUUAUCCGGAAUUACUGGGGGUAAAGGGUGCGUAGGCGGCCCUUCAAGUCAGAGGUGAAAGUCUACGGAUCAACCGUAGUAAGCCUUUGAAACUGUAGGGAUUGAGUGCAGGAGAGGGGAGUGGAAUUCCCAGGGUAGCGGUGCAAUGCGUAGAUAUUGGGAGGAACACCAGUUGCGAAGGCGGCUCUCUGGACUGUAACUGACGCUGAGGCACGAAAGCGUGGGGAGCGAACAGGAUUAGAUACCCGAGUAGUC
rnacentral:rRNA from 1 species